rnacentral:lncRNA from 1 species
CCCGCCCCAUCACCUGGAUCCCUUCUGGGCACGAACAUUGCUGCUGUUACCCAUCCUGCAGCGGUGGUACCACUUUCACAGCUGGGUGUGCCUCCAGGAACCCAGGCUAUGACCAUGACACCUUCCAGGCCAUAGGAAGGGACAAAGCCCCCAAUGCCAAAGUCACCGGCUGUUGUAGAUUCUCAAAGAGGGGGUGUCAGUGACCCUAGAGAUGUCUCUGGCAGCCUUUGUGGCCAGCAGAGCACCGUCUACACACAUUCCUGGAUUCCUGGGAGGCCCAAGGCCUGUUAGUACCCACAGCCUGAGAAGAGCAGGACACUUCCUGGAGGACAGCAAGCACCCCAGAGCUGCAUAUCACUCCCACAGAGGCCACAGUGACCCUGAGCAGCUCACUCACCUUGCUGGUCCUUAGGGGGUCUCUGCUCUGGAAUGAGGGGACACACACCUUCCCCAGAGUCACCAAGAGGACCAAGUGAGAGCCCAAGGGAAAAGGCUGAGCUUCAGCAACUGUAAGAACAACCAAGCCGCUGUGGGAACCCACUUCCCAGGCUAGCAACAGACCGUCCUCCAGCACAGAACCUACGAUCACUUCGGAAAUAAACAGCACUCAGAGAUCAGAGGCCGCACAGUUACAGUUCAUUACGAUAAAUCCACCAUCAAGGGUGGACGGAGAUAAGCAGGAUUAUGCUGGUCACGGCAAUUAAAAUUUUAAAAAGGAGCGUUUUGAGAGAGAUGUAAUUCUGUGGUCCCUGAAGCCACGCUGGCGCUGCCUGCCAGGGCUUGUGGCUUGGAAGGGCAGCACUGCGGUCAGGGGCUGCAUUUGUUCCUCACCAAGGCUGCUCUGAGCUGUGCUCCUGCCAGGGCCUGCCUGAGACCAGAGCCAAAGUGUGCUCCACCGUAGUCCUGGGAUGCCCAUGCGUGGGAGGCUCUCAGCUGCGCCAACCUUUAUCCUGGAGCCCCGUGGAUCACUACCUCUCUCGUUUGCACCCCUGGUCUGCUCACUGUCCCUCUGCGGCCUUCGCCUUUGUGCUUUACCAGAUGGAAACGGCUUUAGUGUCCAAGUCCCCUGGGGGUGUGACCAAGAAUGGACUUGAAGGCUGGGGUGUGGCUCGAGGGAGAGUGCUGGUCUCCCAUCUGCCCAGAGUUCAUCAGCAACAAAAGAAUAAACCUGGAAGUGUUCUUUGAUCAGCACACUGGCCUUGACUGUGCAGCCACUCUGGCCCCG